GAAACACAUACACACAUACAUAGACAUAUACAGACAUACACACGGAUACACACAAAGACACAGGUACAUGCUUCCCUAAUUCUGCUCUAUCCAAGCUUCCUUUAAUAUAUAUGUAAUUUAAAAAUUUUAAUGUUGACAUGUUUUUCAGGAAGAGUAUGCAUUUGCUACAUCGGCCAGUUUGUUUUUGCUCUCUCUUCAGCUCCGUGCUCUCUGUGUUCUGUCCCCAUCUCUAGGAAGUAAAAGAUACGGAUCUCAGUUGGCAAACUCAGGAGGGAAAGAAAUGCAACUUGUUUUUGCUUUUCUCUCACUGACCAUUCUGCCUGAUUUGUGACUCCUGUUGCCUGCAGCCAUAAACCUCACCUCUGUAAGGUCAGGGCUCUCAGCCCCUUUCCGGGAGUUGUAGCUCAGGGCCACUGUAUUGUGGAGCCAAGGGGACAUGCUGUUCUUGGUGUGGCUGAGCCACACUAUUGAAGUGGCCUUGUCCCUCCUGGAGGGGCCUUGGUCUUUGGUCCGCGCAGGCGGUGGGCUCUCUUGUUACCAACAUGGGGUCUCUUGAUCUGUAGUCCAGACCUCUCCUGGCCGUGCUGGGGCUGUGAGAAUGGAGACAUGGUGAAGAUUUCACGGGCCCCGUUUCAAGGACAUAUCUCAGGAUCUCACUCGUUUUUGUUUCCUGGCUGAUGCUCCCAGGUUCACCAACUUGAGAUCUUUGUUUGGGGCAAAGUGGCAUAGCAGAAGCCGCCGUGGUCGUGCAGACUGUCCUCAGUGCCCUGGCUUACACUCCUUGGACUCUGAAGCCAUGUGUGACUCCUAUUCUCUGCAUCCCACUGGGUCAUACCUUCCCUGGGACACUGAAGGCCACUGACCUGGUGGCCAAGGGGCAUUAGAAAACCCCUGAAACAACCAAUGAAGCCAAACCCACAUUGGCUUAUAGGCGAGGCUAUCAUUCUGCUCCCUGGAUGUAGCCAAUAUGAGCCUUGUGAUUUGGGCCCUCCUCUUCCCCCUUCUCCCUGCAGCGUCUCAUGUUGUGAGAUGCCCCUCUGUAGAACUCUUUGCCUGUUGGCUCUGGGACAGAGUUACUAUUAAGUCCUCUCCUAUCUCUUCCCACUUUCUCCCUGCUUCUUCUAGUUUCUAGUGUUGUUUCUACAGGAACUUUGACCAGGUUGCUGUCCUGGUCCUCUUAUUUUCUCUUUUUGUGGUCUUCCCUUGGUGAGCUUAUCUACUUCCACAAUUUCAUGUUCCCUUUCUAGGUAAGUUGUUCCUAGACUUAGGUGUCCAGCUCUGAGCUCUUCCCUAAGGCCUGGACUAGUGUUUCCUGCUUUAGAGGGGUCCGUGGACCUGUGCAGUAACUCCUGAGACCGCCCUGACUGAUAUAACCACUUGGAUAACCUCAACGGAAAGAUGCCAGUGUGUGUGUAGAUCUGAUUCAGAUUUAGUAGUUCUGGGGCAUGGCCUGGGAAUAUGCAUUUGAAAAAUUCCUCCUGGGCUGGAGUUAAGGGGCUAAGGAUUAGUCAGGUUUGGGAACUACUGGGUUUUUGGAUAGUGUUAAAUUUUUCGUUGGGCUGAUGUGGGUCCAUGCCUUGGCCUUACCACUUUGUCUCUUAAUCUGGAUCUUCAUGUGGAGUUAUUUCGUCUUCUUGAAGCUCCGAUCCCUGGCCUGGUAGAUGGAAGUCACACUCCCGCCUGGGGUUCUGGGGCAGAGAAGGGCCAGCAGCCGGCAGGAAACGCCCAGGGCGGUCCUGGCCCACAGUGAUGUGCGCCAGGAUGUCCCGUAGACCCCUCAGACAGGCAAGUCCACGUAGGAUCCAACUUCCCUCUCCUCACACAACCGGACUCCAAAAAAGAAUGUAAAAGAAACCAUGCAUGAACAUUGCUUCUGACCUUUGCCUUUAGCCUAGUCGCUGGUUCUGUCAACCUUGAUGUCAUACAGAGUCACCUUGAACACCUUCUGACCCUCACCAUGCUCAUUGAGCAGAUUCAGAUACGGCCAUCACAUUUAGCUUCCUUUCUAGUUCCAAAGUCAUUUGUGUGAACUUUCUGGGCCUUCACUUCUUUAUCUGUAAAAUGGGAAUAUUUACCUCAUAAGUUGCUGUGAGGAUUAAUGAGGUAAGAUGUUUAAGGCUCUUAGAAGAGCUCCAUGAGGAGAGCUCCGUGUGGGGAGUGGUGGUGUUGUUACCAUCCUGCCAUGGACAGCAUCCCCCCAGGCCAUCAUGGCCUUUUGCCUGGACUCUUCCAGUCACUGCUUGCCUUGUAUUCUGCCUCCGGUAUCUCCUUCCAUGGGUCCAUCUUGUGCUCCUUCAGUCAUUUGACAAACAUGCAUGCCAAGAGCCAGGCAUGGUGUUUGGGAUAUUUCAAGAAGCAGACAGGAAAGAUAAACAUACAGAUGUUUGCAAAUAGUGAAAUGUCUUAUAACGGGUCAGGGUGUCAGGGAGGAAGCAUGGAUUCAUUUAGCUUUUGGGAAGGGGGUAAGGGAAGGCUUCACAUGGGAGGUCAUAUUUAAGUUGCAUCUCCCAAUAAGAGGGGAUUUCCAGGCCGAAAGAGUCAUUUCGGUACACAUGUGCAAGGGCCCUGCAAUUGUGCCCUUUAUGACUAGAGUUUCAAGUGAAUGAGAAGAGAAGAGCCAGGUGCUGGCGGGCUUCCUGGAUCACGCCAGCAGUUGAACAUAACUGCAGGUGAUGAGAAGUUCCUGAAGAUCUUCAGAGCAGGAGAGGGCUGGGUCUGGGAGUAUAUGUGGGAAAGGGUGCUUUUGCAGCAUAAUGAAGCUGGCUUGGAUGGAGGUCUCACUGUUUGUGAAGAAGAAAAGAAACUGCAGAAGUCUGGAUAAUUGUGACAGGGAUAGAGAAGAGGGUGGUGGAUUUAGGAGCUAACCUUCCCUGGACCUGUGACCAGUUGGAUAUUGCAGAAGAAUCAGAGAGAGCUGACUCUGAGGAUGUGAUUGCCCUUAGCCAGGACACUGUCAGGAGAAAGGUCACAUUUAAGGGGAAAACACUGAGGGGUACAAUUUGAGCUGUGUUAUCGAGGAGCAUGCAGAUGGAGGUGUCCAACAGGCAGCAGAUAUGGGUUAGGGGCUCAGGAGGUGGUUGGUGCUGCAGAGGGAGGAGUGAGAAGACAGAAGGAAAUGCCACAGGCCCAGCUUGGAGCACUGGCAGGGUGGACAGCAAGAGGAACUGGUGUCCCAGGCUGUGGCCGCCCAGUGGACAGAGUGAAAGGAACCACGGAGGACACGACAAAGGUUUGGCCUGAGAGGUUAGGAGGGAAACCUGAGGGAGUAGAGCCUUAGCAGCAAAGGUCAGAAGGUUCAAAAAUGUAAAAAAGAGACCGUUGCUGGCUCAGACUUGUCUCUGUGGCAGCCCUGCAGGUCCUAGGAGAAUUGGCCUGCUCAAGGGGAGGUUGGGCUCAGGACCUAGUGCAGGAGGAAGGGAUGUAGGUCUACAUCUGUAGUCUCACCGAGGCCCUGAGAGAGUAGACGUGUAACCCCUAUUUGCUGAGCGUCAGUGUUGUGCCAGAACGUGGUCCCCGAUCACUUAGGUACCCCUAAAUAAAAGCGCGAGAAUUCUCCCAUUACUUUCAUGGCAUGGUGCCAUCUUUUAAAUAAGGAAGUGCUAUUUCAGAGUCCUGCUCUCAGAAACUGCAGAGGAGGGGCGACAGCAGUAGUGGUCAGACCUCGGGGGGUAAGGAUCACAUGAAGACCUGCUCAGAAAGUACACUCCCAGGCUCUGCUCCCAGAGCCCCCCCAUUCUGUGUCUGGAGGGGGUUCUGGGGUCCCAUUGGCAAGCAGCGGCCCUGGUGACCAACACAGGACGGGGACUGGGGACUGCUCUCCGAGGACAGUGACUCUGAUCUCGUCAUCGUAGAGUGGACCCUCCUUCGGCUUGCCCGCCCCAGUCUGCCACUGCCUACCCACAGCUCUCUCUGGGCCACGUCGGCUGCCGAGAGGUUUCCCACUCUGUUGGGCUCAGAACAGACUGUUUAACGAAGCGCGCUCGCGCUGUCACAGAAUUAGCCGAGAGUCUUCUUCUCACACACACUGGCAAGCCCACACCUGCCCCUGCUCCUGCUGUGCCUUCCCUUGCAAAUUUGUCAGCUUCCAUACAUUCUCCGUCACCCUCUCCUUUCUUCUGCCUCCUUAAUAUAACCCCCAUUUAUUUUUCUAGCACUUGGCUUUCUUCUCCUUCUGAGACAUGAAAAGUAUGCUGGGAUCGGAAUUUUUUUUUUUUUUUUUUUUUGGCUCUUUCUCUCAUUACUUAAAGAAAAGUCUGUUCUGCGCUCCACCUCACUUGUACUUCUGCACCCAAAUCCAUCAUCUUUGUUAUCUUUUCUCAUGUUAGCAAAGCAUCUUGAAACUGAGAUGGCCCAUGACACGACAUUUCUCUAUUAUUAUUCACAGUCUUGUCAUUGGUGGUGCCACCUGCCAUGCAGCUCGUCAUUUUAUACCCUGUCCCACCGAUAGCCGUUACCCAGGAGUUGUGGGGUACGUAGGCUGUCUGGGAACCCCCUCUGGGCUCGGGCUGAACGCAUUGCAUGUGGGAAACUCCCAGGUCUCUCAAACUCUGAAGUCCACAAAGACUUGGCCUGGGUUGAAAUAGUAAGAGAAUAUAUUUGGCAUUUGACCUUGUGCAAAGAACAGAGCUGUGUACUUUCUGGAGCAAGAGCCAGGCUCUCGGCAGAGGCAGAGAGGCCAGAAAAGGACUUGUUUUAGGGCUGGGCUUGCUUGCAUCUCUGCGAGGGAGUGGAGAGAGCUCAGGGGGAUGGGUUGCUCAGAGGCUCUUGAGUUACGUCAGGAAGAGGGUUGGGAUGUCAGAUUUUCCCACUUCCUGCUAUAAAGUUGGGCAGCGAUGAGAGUUGGCAUCCUAGGCUGGCCAUGAAGGUUAAAUGAAUUAAAGUAUGAGAAAUGCUUAGAAUGGUGCCUGCCUCAGCAAAUGUGUGUUGUCCUUUAGAACCAGAAGCCGAAAGCUGUCCCCUUCAGCUGAUUCCUUGGGGUAAGUCAGGAUUGGUGGCACUCAGGCUUGUUUUUACACCAGAAGGGUAAGAGAGGACACCAAAAGGCCCUGUUUCUAGCAACUCUCAUGUGGCAAGACUGACACGUGUCUGCACAUGCCUCACCCUCACCGUCAGACUGCAGAGGGAGCAAAGCAGAAAUGCAUUCGUGGAGGAGAAAAUGAGCCCUGAAGGGACAUCCCUGGGUGGCCUGUAGGGGUCUCCGUCCCUCACACCCACAGGUGUUUUUUGCUUGGGACAAGCCUGUGUCCGUCCCUUCUCGGUCACAGCUCAGGGAACCAAAGUGGGCCAGAGCACUGUAAAUCUGAGCUUCCCUCAUCCCCAAGCUGGAGGGGGCGAAGACACUCCACAGUGUAGUUUAGGCCACUAGACGUCCUGGGAUGAGUCCGGGACCUGCCCACCGGGCGUGAAGAGACCCCUGUCAGAGCUUCUAUCUGAGCAGUGAAUAAAAAUGCCCAUUGGGAGGCUCCUCCUCUCCCUGCAGUGAGUUUUGAUUUCUUUUAUCAUCAGGCUUUUCUUGUCUUUGUGGGCUUUCAUGCAUCAACAAAACGUGAUUUACCAUUGCUACCUCAUACAUGUCCUCCUCAUGCCCCAGAUGCACACCCUCGGCAGUAAUACUGGGGCUGUAAGGUAUGCUCAUAGCAGAUCACAGGUAGCAAGCUGCAGCAUCAUCUGCGAAUCUUCUCUGUGCCAUGUGGUGGUGGCGGGGAGCAGGGCUGGGAGGGGGGCAGGCAGUAGCGCCGAGGCAGUCUUUAUGCAUUUAUUUAUUUAUUUUUUCUAAGUAAUAAUUUUUGCAGAAAGUGCAUACAUUCUGCAGAAUGAAGCAUACAGAUGAUCACGACUGAAUACUUCUUGCAUGAAUGAAUAAACACAGACUGGUGUUUGAGGAUAUACGGGAGCAGAGAUUCUUCUUUUAUUAAACAUUAGCUCCUGUUCCUUGUAACAUUUCCCUGUGUUCAACCAACGUAGACCACUUACACUCUUAAUCUGCACCUUAAAAAAAAAUAAGAUGCCGGAUUAAGGUAAACUUUGGCAGAGAUUUUAUAGAUGAGAGAAUUCGCAGGACGCUGUGUUUCAGAUCUGCGUGAGGUCUCCCGUCGGAGGUUCUGUCUGGCUGACCUGGGCUGAGCGGGACCUGGGUGUGUCUGCAAAGCUAUCCUGGAGCCAGGGCACUGAGCUAGGAAGGGAGACAGAAAUGGUGUGGCCUUAGGUCGGUCACUUAACCUUCCUGUUUGUGUCUCUGCCGCCCCAUGGGAGUAAUCAGUCCUGCUUUGUCAUAGUAAUUGCCUUUAUGCAGUGACCAGCAGGUGCCAGUGCUUUGCAAACACUCUUCCUAAUCCCCAUAGCAAUAAAUUACAAUAUCUAUUUACUUCUUUCCUUGGGGGUGGAGAAUUCAUCCCUUUUGUUUGCUGCUCUAUCCCCAGGGCCUUGAGUGGUAACUGGCGCAUGUCAAGCUCUUGAUAAAUAUUGGAGGAGCGAAUGAAUGGCCCCUGCCAGGGUUUAUCUCUUUGUUUCAGGUGAGGACACUGUGUCUCGGAGAAGUGAAGUGACUUGGUGAGUGAGGGGCAGGGUCUUAAUUUGAACUCAGGACCAUUCGGUACCAUCACUUGGGCUCUUUGCUCUGUUCUCUGGAGUGUUAGAGUUGCUGUGAGCAUAGAAGGAGGUAGAAAAUGUUUCCAAGAUUAAACCUGCUGCAGCGGUAUUAACAGGUUAAUUAAAAAAAAAAAAUCCAACAAAUUUGGUUCUGUUGGAAAAUGAGUUCGGUAAGCCUCAGGCAACCAAAGUUAUUAAUUUUUUGUUAGAUUCCUUGGGGUCUUUAACAUGUUAGUAACACUCACUACUUAGUGCUUUGAGUGUAUUAAUGCAUUUAAGCAUCAUAAUAACCCUAUGAGAUAGACACUGUUAUCCCAUUGAACAGAUGAGGACACCGAAGGUCAGAGAGUUGAAGUAAUUUGCACCUGGAAACACAGCCUCCAAGCGAAGAUGCUGCUUGUAGACAGAGGCAGUUACUCCCAGCACCUUGUUCUCAGCCCCGGGCUCCCUGGGCCUCUGCCCACCUUCUCACCACAAGACAGCCUGGGGAAUGGUCUUCCUUGGAGCACACCAUGGGGAACAGAGAACACUGUGCUCAGGUAAAGCAGUGGCUUGAAGCCCCCCACACAGGAGACAACCUGCAGAGGCAGGGCCAGAGCUGGGAGCAGGGCAGGACACACUACAAGGCCAGCACAGCUGGGGAGGGGGGUGGGUAGGGAGGCUGCCUCAGGGGUGUGGCCUUUCCCAGGGGACCACUGGCUCCCCAUUGAGCUGUGCUUCCUGUCACUGGGUGCCCUGGGGCAAUUGUUUGACUCAGUGUUUCCUCACUAAAUAUUUCAGAGGAGAAGGCAUUGUCCGCUCUGCCUUCGCCAGCGGAUGGGGUGAGAGGAGAGGAUGCUUUGAAGUCUAAGUACAGUGACACCUCUUGCUCCAUUUUGAUCCAUCUGCCUUCAUUUUGGGGGGAAUAUGUUCCAUAUGUAUUCACACCCAGGGUAAUGGAGCCCCUUUCAUGUACUGAGCUCCUUUUAAUGGAAGUGUAUUUGAAGAAAGUCUUUCUAGAAUGUAAAAUACAGGUCCCUGGAUCUUUAAAAAAAGAAUUCUCAGCAUACUCUGUGCUUUUUCUGGGACUGCACAGUCAUUGGGAAUAUUCAGUAUACAAAUUUGUGUAAUUCCCGAAAGCUGUCGAGAGGGUGAAGGAGAGUCCAGAUGGCCCCUGAACACUGUGCCCUGAGACGGUCUUUGGGCCCUGUUUUCAUACACCAUCCUUGUUGGGGUGUCUCCUGCUCCAGGACCGGCCCUUUCCAUUUGCUGUUUUCCCUCUCCAGGGAGUGUAGGCACUAGAUCCCCAAAGCCAUCCUAUAUGGGCAAAGUCUGAGUAAACAGAUUCCGACUGAUGAGGCUCCUUUAUAGGUAAGGUGCAUUAGCUUUAAUGUGUGGAGUUUAGAAAAUUGAUUUUGGCUUCUCAGAAGCCUUUUUCCCUCUUUAUUCCCGUUGUUCCUCCUGACUUCUGUAUGAUUGAAGUUGUUGGGUUAGUGCCUUCCAGCAAGCAGGGGUUACAGCCCCACUGUCCACACUCAGGGGCUCCCACUCGAAGUGCUGCCUCUGCUCGCAGCGUGUCUCAGUGUUCACUCGCUUAGUCCUCGCAGUAACUCCAGGAGACCUCUCUUGUUAUUAUUAUAGACAUCUCAUUUUCAAGAUCAGGGCAGGGAGGCACAGAGGAAUGAACUAACCAGCCCCUGGAGUGUGGCCUGUCACCCCACGCCCUUCGCUGCUGCGCUCCGUAGCUUUCUGAAGGUGUAAGGGCCGGGUAUUUUUCUAGAAUAUGGUCCUUUAAUCACCGGAGGCACAACUAGCACGCCUGUCACAUAGGUGAUGAUCUGUUGAGGGACAAUGGAGGACCAUGGAUGUGGGGGAUGAGCCCCUCAGGGGCGGUGUUGUGUCUGUCAAAGUCUCCGGGGCAAGGCCCAUAACCCCUAGCCGGUGCCCUUUGGUAAGUGUCGGUGAGGAGGGUGCUCGUGUCUACCCACCGAUGCCUGAGCACACUUGGCUUUGACUCCUGCAUUCUUUCAAAGACCCGUGACUCACGUGAGCUGAUAUCCUUAGGCAGAUAAGCCUUCAGGUCUUCUAAACAGCCGAGAACCUCAAGUUGGAGUGCAGGACCCAGAAUCAGCCCGACUUCCUGAGAUGAGCUUAAAAACCUGAGUAAGACUUCUUGGGGACAGAGGCAUUGGAAGUAGUUUCUGAGAGCCAGAGAGGCCCCACACUGGAGCAAAGAACCCUCCUGCGAUCCUAAUCACUGCAGUCUAGUGGCUGGGCCAGCCGAGUCGGGUGCGGGGGACCUCAGUAGCCCCGGCUCCAGGUGCAGGCCAUGUUGCCUUUCGUGGUGGGGGGCUUUAUGGGAUACGGUCAGCACUCAGGGCCCCACGGGAGAUGGGAAAACAUUAUAAAGCCUUGGCCUAGAGCCUGGGGAGUGUGAUGGCGGUGACAGAGCCCUGGGCUUGCAGUCACCGUCCUGGGUACUUGCUGCAGUUCCGCCAA